GAUCCUGGCUCAGAUUGAACGCUGGCGGCAUGCCUUACACAUGCAAGUCGAACGGCAGCACGGGAGCUUGCUCCUGGUGGCGAGUGGCGAACGGGUGAGUAAUACAUCGGAACGUACCCUGAAGUGGGGAUAACGUAGCGAAAGUUACGCUAAUACCGCAUAUUCUGUGAGCAGGAAAGAGGGGGAUCGCAAGACCUCUUGCUUUAGGAGCGGCCGAUGUCGGAUUAGCUAGUUGGUGAGGUAAAGGCUCACCAAGGCGACGAUCCGUAGCGGGUCUGAGAGGAUGAUCCGCCACACUGGGACUGAGACACGGCCCAGACUCCUACGGGAGGCAGCAGUGGGGAAUUUUGGACAAUGGGCGCAAGCCUGAUCCAGCCAUGCCGCGUGAGUGAAGAAGGCCUUCGGGUUGUAAAGCUCUUUCGGUGGGGAAGAAAUUGCACAGGAUAAUACCUUGUGUAGAUGACGGUACCCGCAUAAGAAGCACCGGCUAACUACGUG
rnacentral:rRNA from 1 species